rnacentral:rRNA from 1 species
UUCCGGUUGAUCCUGCCGGAGAUCACUGCUAUUGGGAUUCGACUAAGCCAUGCGAGUCGAGAGGGUUCGGCCCUCGGCUGACGGCUCAGUAACACGUGGAUAAUCUGCCCUUAGGUGGAGGAUAAUCUCGGGAAACUGAGGAUAAUACUCCAUAGAUCUAGGAUGCUGGAAUGCAUCUAGAUUGAAAGCUCCGGCGCCUAAGGAUGAGUCUGCGGACUAUCAGGUUGUAGUCAGGAUAAAGACCUGACUAGCCUACGACGGAUACGGGUUGUGAGAGCAAUAACCCGGAGACGAUAUCUGAGACACGAUAUCGGGCCCUACGGGGCGCAGCAGGCGCGAAAACUUCACACUGUGCGAAAGCGCGAUGAGGGAAUCCCAAGUGUUUGCUCGUAAGAGUAAACUGUUUCUUUGUUUAAAACGCAGAGAGAGUAAGGGCUGGGUAAGACGGGUGCCAGCCGCCGCGGUAAUACCUGCAGCUCAAGUGGUGAUCAUUAUUAUUGGGCCUAAAACGUCCGUAGCCGGUUUAGUAAAUGCCUGGGUAAAUCGUGUAGCUUAACUAUACGACUUCCGGGUAGACUGCUAAACUUGAGACCGGGAGAGGCUAGAGGUACUCCUGGGGUAGAGGUGAAAUCCUGUAAUCCUAGGUGGACCACCGGUGGCGAAGGCGUCCAACCAGAACGGCUCCGACGGUGAGGGACGAAGGCUAGGGGCGCAAACCGGAUUAGAUACCCGGGUAGUCCUAGCUGUAAACGCUGCAGACUUGGUGUUGGAGAUCCCACGAGGGUGUCCAGUGCCGGAGAGAAGUUGUUAAGUUUGCCGCCUGGGAAGUAUGGCCGCAAGGCUGAAACUUAAAGGAAUUGGCGGGGGAGCACCGCAACGGGAGGAGCGUGCGGUUUAAUUGGAUUCAACGCCGGG